UUGCGGGUUCAGCAUGCAGAUCCAUUUUCUGCCACCGAAUACAUUAGCAUGGGAUAAUGGAAUAGGACCCUGUCCUCCUAUUUUCAGUUGGUUUUGGCAGCGCGAGGACUAGGGUAAUGAUUAAUAGGGAUAGUUGGGGGCAUUAAUAUUUAAUUGUCAGAGGUGAAAUUCUUGGAUUUAUGAAAGAUUAACUUCUGCGAAAGCAUCUGCCAAGGAUGUUUUCAUUAAUCAAGAACGAAAGUUAGGGGAUCGAAGACGAUCAGAUACCGUCGUAGUCUUAACCAUAAACGAUGCCGACCAGCGAUUAGGAGACGUUGAAUACAAAACACCACCAUCGGCGCGGUCGUCCUUGGCGUCUCGGUCCUUCACGGGGCCGGGGCGCGGGGGCGGCUUAGCCCGGUGGCACCGGUGAAUGACUCCCUAGCAGCUUGUGAGAA
rnacentral:rRNA from 1 species